rnacentral:misc_RNA from 1 species
AAAUAAUGCAUUAUUUUAGAACGAACUUGGUUAGCAUAAAAAAGGUUAUAGUGAGCCAACCUUAAAAGAUAGAUAUAUGCUGUCGCGGACUUUUUUUAGAACUUUUAAAGAGGAUCAAUUCUGUUGUACAUGAUUUUUGCGAAACUUUAACUGUUUUCACAGCGCACGCAGCGGAAGCUCUCAAAAGGAAAAAAGAAUCCCCGAUUUUGAAACAUUCUUUAUUGGUGCUCCGCUCCUUUUGGUCUUAGCGUGAUGAUAUAUAGCCUAUAAUCUUCCUCGAUAAAUGAGCUAUCUAACACUAAAAGAAUUUUUCAAAUUGGACCAGUAGUUUCCGAGAUUAGCGUGUUCAAAGAAAGAAACAAACAAACAAACAAAAACUCUACAGCUUUAUAAUAUUAGUAUAGAUGUUGUUCAAACAACUCAAACUUCUCAAACAACUCAAACCCCGUUAAUGAGGUAAAUAAAAAACGUGUCACUUUUAUAUUUAAUUGUUUAUUUAUUUUAGUUACAAUAAAGAAUAGUCUGUAAUAACAAUUUUAUAUAUUAGCAUUUUUAUAAUAUAAUACAUAGUAUGUAUUACCUAUUAACAUUUAAUGAAAUAAUAUGUAAAUACCCCUACAAUCAACCGCCUUUCCUUUUUUAACAUGUUUUGUGUUAACAAAAUAUUGUGGAUAAAUCCUAUUGUUUCUUGACAAUAUAGGUAUACUAGCUGACCCCGCAAACGUAGUUUUACCAUAUAUGUUAUUAACCCCCUUAAUCCCCCCCCCCCUUAUAACUUAGGGGUACGAAAACUAGAUGUUGGCCGAUUCUCAGACCUACCCGAUAUGCACGCGAAAUUUCAUAAAAAUCGGUACAGCCGUUUCGGAAGAAUAUUGUAACUAACAUUGUGACACGAGAAUUUUAUUAUAUAACAAGAUAUAUCAUCGUAAUAUAAAUCACUAUAAAAUAAAAAUGUAAUAACAGAAACAUUCCAAUGUUUAUAAUAAUAAAGUUGUUAAAUUUAUGAACAUAAUUUAAAAAUAUACAAAUUGCAAUAAUUUAUGCUUAUAUUAUCUGCCAGGCCUUCAUACCUCAUUUACUCCAUUCCAAUAAAAUAGCCAAUUGUAGGUCAGAAUAUCUAAAAAUAUUUCACUUGGAACAUUAAAUAAAUACCCGUCCAUAUCUUUAUUACAAUGUUUACUAUAUUUUUCCUACGCGGUUUUUUAAUUUUUAAAGUAACAGUAAAAAUAAAUACAAAAUGUAUAUAUUUUUUUAACGAUUUGAUUGACUAAGUUCUCAUGCAUUUGUCAACGAACUAUCACAGCGCUUGUUGUGGCAUAAUCACUUAGUCGGAUCGGUCAGACAUCGGCUUCAAUGUUUUUUUAGCCAUGUAAAUAAACUAUUUAAUUGAUGUUGUUGUAAUCAGGGUUAAUGUUACAUUACAGCAAUCAUAUUUAUGUGUUUCAAAUUUAGCAAUCCUCUAUUUUAAUGAUAUCAUUAUGUGGGAUUAUGAGGUAUCAACCGCCGAUCACCAACCCACCUGCCCAGCGUGGUGACUAUGGGCAAAACACAUGAGUUCACAACAUUUUUGGCGCGAACUUGGGGAGGCCUAUGUCCUGCAGUGGACUGUAAUAGGCUGAAAUGAUGAUGGGGUAUCAAAUUCAUUAAUUUGAAAAUGCGGGUUCCUAAGCAUCUAGAUAUUUCAUAACAAUUAUUUUUUUUUUACUUUUUCAAAGGUUUAAGGGCAAAGUCAAGAAUAAUAAUGAUACAAAACUGCGGCAAUGACAUAAUACGGCUUUAUUUCUAAAGCGUUGGACCAUUAUAUGAUCCCAAAAGAAGAAACUAAAUUUAAUAAUUGAUGAUUUUUUAAUUGUGUUGACUAUAUGUUAAGAACCAAGAGUUCAAGUUGCUAGAAUCAAAUUUACAUUUGAUACAUCACAUCUUAAAAAAAAACCUGCCAUUAGAAAAACAUAAAAAGAAGGCGGGUAAUUAUAACUCUUAACUAUCUUAAUAAUAUAUUAAUAUUCACAAUGUAUAUUACAUAAUAAAAUGUAUAAAAUGCUUUUACAAAUAUACUCUUAUAAGUAUUUAUAUGAAUUUAGUAGUCAUACCAGCUCUACGUACAUUAUUGUGAUGAUGGAAGUAAAAUAUACUUGCAUUAGUUAUCUCUUUAUUUAAACUUCUAACUGGAAACUAAGGGUAUGUUUAUUGUAAUCGUGAUUUUGUAAAACUUAAGUACCUUUUAUAGAAGCUUACAAAUCCGACCAAAUUGGAAUACGAGAACAUCUGGUGUUAUAAUGGAUUUAUUAGGAAAUUGGUAAUUUUAAAUUGUGACGAGAUUAAAAUAAAUAUAUACUCUUGAAAAAGUACAUAGAAGUAAAAUAUAAAUUAUAUUUAAAAAAUGAGAAUCUAUAUUCCGAAAUAGUUAUAUAAAUAAAAAGAGCCGAGCGAAUUCGCUUACAUAUUUUACUGACAAAAUAAAAUGAUUAAAUAAAUCGUGGUUUUUAAUUAGGUAUGUUUACUACAUCUAAAACUCAGAACUGGCAUUUUAGAUUAAACAGACAACUAAAAACAAAUUAAAUUUAAAAUAGAUAUUUAGAUAACGUUACACUUAAAUAAAAAUAAAAAAUGAAAUUUUGUAGUGUUUUAAAUAAAGAAAAAGGAGGGUCUUUAACUAAGUUUUAUUAAUUUUACAUUAUAUAUAAACAUAUAAAAUGGAAUGUUACUUAUACUGUCACACAUUAGGCUAAAAAAAAUUGUAGGUAAAACUGUUAUGAAAUAAUGCAUAUUUUUACAUUAAUAAUAAUGGAAUGGAAAUGAUAGUGAUAAAUAGGAAAGUUAUUUUUCAAAUCUAAUAAGAAACAAAUUUAUGGUAUAGCACAAAUACAGGUAUAAAGUUAUAAAAAUAUUUAUAAUAUAUUUUAUCGAGACGAUGGCAUAUUUUUUUUAAAUAUAUUAUUGUAGUUCGAAGUAAGAAGUUAAGAGAAAUUUGUUGUAAUUUUAGAAAUAAUAACGUAUACACAAAAUACUUUUAUGUCCUGUUAUUUUAUUUUUUUUUUUUUUUUUUAUUAUGAAUAUUAAGUAAACUUGUUUAUUUUCAACUGAUUAAUAUCUGUUUCACGUUAACAAUGUCUAUGGUUUAUUAUCUUUAAAGUUAAUUAGUUUUUCUUUUUUUAUAUUUCAGCAUCAAAAAUGCUCGUGCACCAAAACGAACGGAUUGAUUGAUUUCAUAAAAAGCGUGACGUAUUGAAUUGGGCGGAUUUAUUAAGUGAUUUAGUAUGUCCGAGGCUUAUAAAUGGGUUUCUCGAAAUAUACUUCUUUAUCAGAAACAGGCAAUACCUUUUAUUGGAUAACAUAUUCAGAUAUUUUCUUUUCUAGCGUUUUGUGAAUUUUUGACUUUAGAUUUUUUUUUAUUCAGUUCACUCACUACUGAUGUUUUAUUUCUAAAAGUUUUUGUCACACCGACAAAUAAUUGAUAGCAUAAAAUUUUAAACUUCAUCGUAGUGUUAACUGUUUUUAAACGGUUUUAUUUAGCUCACCCCGUUUGUUUUAUUUUUUAUUAUUCUUGGGUCAAAUUUAGUAAUUCAAAUUUUACCCUCUUCCUGUCAACCGAUUAAUCUGAAAUUUUGUAUACACUUUGGAUUUUGGUGACAAUACAAUUAUGUUUAUUCAUUAUCAUUAUAAAUUCAAGAUGGCCGCCGCUACAAAAUGGCGGAUAACGUAGGUUUUAUCGAUCCCAUCAAUAUGGGUAUGAAAUGAAAGUGCUCAACCAGUUUAAUCAAUGUACUAUAUAAAAUUAAAAUCCAAGAUGGCGGCCUCUACAAAAUGGCGGAUAACU